UACAGAGGGGGCAAGCGGUGUUCGGAAUUACUGGGCGUAAAGGGCGCGUAGGCGGCCUUCUAAGUCGAACGUGAAAUCCCUGGGCUCAACCCAGGAACUGCGUCCGAUACUGGAAGGCUUGAAUCCGGGAGAGGGAUGCGGAAUUCCAGGUGUAGCGGUGAAAUGCGUAGAUAUCUGGAGGAACACCGGUGGCGAAGGCGGCAUCCUGGACCGGCAUUGACGCUGAGGCGCGAAAGCCAGGGGAGCAAACGGG
rnacentral:rRNA from 1 species